rnacentral:rRNA from 1 species
CGUGUAGGCGGUUGGUCAAGUCUGGUGUGAAAGCCCGGGGCUCAGCUCCGGAAGUGCAUCGGAAACUAGCCAACUGGAGCGCGAUAGAGGAGGGUGGAAUUCCUGGUGUAGCGGUGAAAUGCGUAGAUAUCAGGAGGAACACCGGCGGCGAAGGCGGCCCUCUGGAUCGUUGCUGACGCUGAGACGCGAAAGCGUGGGGAGCAAACAGGAUUAGAUACCCUGAUAGUCCACGCUGUAAACUAUGGGUACUAGGUGUUCGGGGUGUUGACCCCCUGAGUGCCGCAGCUAACGCAUUAAGUACCCCGCCUGGGGACUACGGCCGCAAGGUUAAA